UGGGGAAUUUUGGACAAUGGGCGCAAGCCUGAUCCAGCAAUGCCGCGUGCAGGAUGAAGGCCUUCGGGUUGUAAACUGCUUUUGUACGGAACGAAAAGGCUCUGGUUAAUACCUGGAACAUAUGACGGUACCGUAAGAAUAAGCACCGGCUAACUACGUGCCAGCAGCCGCGGUAAUACGUAGGGUGCGAGCGUUAAUCGGAAUUACUGGGCGUAAAGCGUGCGCAGGCGGUUUUGUAAGACAGAGGUGAAAUCCCCGGGCUCAACCUGGGAACUGCCUUUGUGACUGCAAGGCUGGAGUGCGGCAGAGGGGGGAUGGAAUUCCGCGUGUAGCAGUGAAAUGCGUAGAUAUGGCGGAGGAACACCAAUGGCGAAGGCAAUCCCCUGGGCCUGCACUGACGCUCAUGCACGAAAGCGUGGGGGAGCAAAACAGGAUUAGAUACCCCUGGUAGUCCGCGCCCUAAACGAUGUCAACUGGUUGUUGGGUCUUAAUUGACUCAGUAACGAAGCUAACGCGUGAAGUUGACCGCCUGGGGAGUACGGCCGCAAGGUUGAAACUCAAAUGAAUUG
rnacentral:rRNA from 1 species